rnacentral:lncRNA from 1 species
UUAACAGAGCUAUGAUGCCCUCCCCCCAGGUAUGAUUCUUCACUUUAAGUUUCUCUCAAUAGGUGACAGUUCCCAAGACCCUGGCUCUGCCUCUACAAAGUGAUUGAGUUGCCACUGUUAGGCUGGUCUCCUGAUGAUGCUAACUGUAAGGUGCAAAUGAGCUUGUGGAUGCAAGGGCCAGAACCCUCCUUACAUUGUAAAUCAGAAGUUCCCUGAAACAGAGAAGUUGGGAGUAUACAGAGAGGUGAGUAUGGUCUGAAGCUUGGCUUAAGUGGUGUUGCCAUGGCUUUGCAUGUCUCUGGUCCC